rnacentral:lncRNA from 1 species
AAAAUCUAAAAGACUAGAAACUAAAGAAACAGGAUGCAGACCUGGAUUCACAGCUUACAAAAACGAAUAUCAAAGUAUUAACAUGAUCAAACUUUGCCCUAUUUUCACUAUUGGAACUAAUAACCUACACAUAUAUAGUUUUAGGAUCAAAUACAAAUAGAUUUUGCGUGCUAAGCAUAUAAUUAAUUAGAGUAAUAAAGCCAACACUAGAGUUAUUAUUAUUACUCUACAGUUUUUGAGCUAGUGUAAUUAUUUAUUUAUUACUACUUUGCUUUAUUUUGUGUAGUGUAAUUACUCUAGAUCAAAACUGUAGAGUAAUUCUAGUUAUCUGUUCGUUUAGACUUUAGUAGGUUAAUUUCAUUUGUACAGAAUUCCACCCCUUUAAAUAUAAACUUCUUUGUUACGCCACUCCUUAACUCAUAGAUGAUCAUUAGACUCUUAGUAACUAAUCGAAUCAUUACAUUUUUCACCAGCAAGGGUCAUAAAUGCCCUAACUUCCAAACAGAUCUCAUUCCUUCAAUGUCGAUAAUCAUACCGUUGCACCAAAUCAAGUAAAUUAUACCAAACUAUGAACAAUUAAAUAGUAAAUCUCUGUUCUCUUUUCAUUUUUAAAAUAAUUUGACCUGGAUGGCUGGAUCCACAGCUUACAAAAACAUUUAUCAAAGUACUAACAUGAUCAAAGUAGCCUUAUUUUCCACUAUUGGAACUAAUAACCUAUUCAAAUAUAUUUUUCUUGCUACACCACUCCUUAGCUCAUAGAUGAUCAUUAGAAUCUCAGUAAAUGCAAGGACCGCAGAGUAAACGAUCGAAUCAUUACAAUUUUUCACCAACAAAGGUCAUAAAUGCCCUAACUUCCAAAACAAAAUUCACUCAUUCAACAUCAAUAAGCAUACCGUUGCACCAAAUCAAGUAAACGAUUCCAAAACAAGUACCCUACAAACAACUAAUAGUAAAUCUCCGCUCUCUUUUCGUUUUCAAUAUAAUUCAUAGUAAAUCAUACCAAAGUUAUUUACCCUGAUUUUCUAUUAUAAACAUAUGCGUAGGACAUUAUUUCUAAUCGUUAUCGCCUCCAAAAGAAACAAAAAACCGUAGUUGCAACCCGUGGACGUAGUUCAACGACUCAACUUACACAAAACCACAUUAAAUCCCUAUCUCUUAUACUUUUCUUAUACCUAACAAUAAAUGCCCUAAUUUCGAAAACAAAAUCAAGUAAACAAUUCCAAAAGAAGUAAACUACAAACAAUUAAUAACAAAUCAUAUCAAAACAAGUAAACUUACAGUGAAAAGUAUGAUAGCAACAACAGCUUGUAUAGCCUGUUGAAGAAGAACACCUUUGACAACAGUUUUCUUGGAAACGAGAUUCUUAUCAUCUUCUUCUUUCUUGGAGUGCAAUCGAUACUUCUCACUGGAUCCAAACAAGACGUAAAAUCCAGAAUAAAUCCAGUACACCACUAACGGAGCCACGGUUCCCAAAAACUCAUCCGAUAUCUUAACCUCCAUCAAAUCUAAUCCUUCCAGACAAACAACAGUCACCGCUAUAACAAUUCGAAACCCUAACGGGAAAACAGAACGAGAAAGUGUGAAAUUGGAGGCCUUUUUAUAUAGGUUUUGAUGAGCAAUGAGAAGAAACGAGAUGAUUGAUCGUUGAAAACGACGACGUGUUGUUGUUCUUGUUCUUGUUUGAAGGAGAAAAAUGUGCGGGAGGGUGUUGGGGGGUAGGGUGGUCUGUUGGGGACGUGGAGUGAUGUGA